UCCUCUCUUUCAAAGUCUCUGUUUGUUUCGUGUAUGAAGUUGGAAUGCAGAUGGGAGAGCUGCUGGAUUGGCUUUUUAUAAUCUAAAGUUUUGGUUGUAUUAGGCUCACAUGCACAUGUGCACAUAUGUGGCGCACACACACAGCUCCCUCCAUGCGCACAUACACACACACUCGGCCAGCACACACACACAUCCUCACAUGCGUGGUGACAUG
rnacentral:lncRNA from 1 species